CUUCAGCUCCCCAGAUGUGAGGAUGCAGGUACUUGCCACCAGGCUGUUUCCUAAGGUUCAUUACAGCCCUGCUUAUUGCCAGGAAGCAUUACAGCUUUGUGCUUGCAGCAGUUUUAAAGGCAGAUGAAAGCCAUCGUACCAGGGUACCCCAGAGGCACACCAAGUGCAUCAUCCCAGGUGACCUUUGGGGCUGGGAAGAAGCUGCAGUUUUCCACUAGCAUCCAUGAGUCAACACGAGCAUCAAGUCACAGCAGCACGCCAAACCUCAUUUAUCAUUCCAUUUAAGGUGUCAGCAGAGCCAUUAUUCAAAUGGAUGGCCACACAUGCAAUCAAUCUUUAAUGAGACAAUAAUUGCACCUUCCACUCUGCAAGACCUCUGCCUUUCUUAAAGGUAUCUUGUGUAUUAAUUAUUGAAAAUGUCUGUGUUUUACCAGCAGUAAGUUAUGUUUCACCAAUUGCCAUCUUUCAAGAGAGUUUUAAGUGGGAAAUUUAUGACUCUCGAAUUCACUAAGGAAAAAAUAAA